GUAGAAGUACACUUAUAUUUCAGUAUUCAAUGAUACUCUGUUCAUGGUGACGAAAUUCACACUAGUAAUCAAUGCUGGAAAUUCCUUAGAGUCAGUCCAACACAUGCUAUUGUAUUUAAUAAUUGGAUUGUGUAUUCAAGGUCAUGCGCUCUUCAUCAUAUGCAGAUACUUACAGAGAAAUUAAACCACCACAAUAAUAUAACUACAAUAUUGUAUGUUUUUCCUGGGGCACAUGGAGCAAAAUGAGAAAAAACAAUCAUAUGGCUCUCAAAUGGAUUUUCCUUCACACGCAGUCAAAAUAUGUCACCGCUCAUUUUUGUGCAAGUUUUUCAAGUUCUGAAGAUUAUGAGUUGAGAAGAAAUGACAGCAGUGGCCUUGGAAAUUGGUUGGAAGACAUGCAAAGAUGUGGUGAUGAUGAAGAAAACAGCACAGAAAGAUAAAGAAGAAAGGAAGGAUGGAUGCUCCUGCAACCUGAAGACUGGACCAAGAGGCAGCAGAUCUGGAGUGAGCUUUCAUAUUUGCCACAGAGCUCUUAUGUAAGUUUGGAAUGGUCUCUUAGAUGCUGAGCCAGUAAUAUUAACUCAGCACAUCCCACUGACUUCAGUUUCUGGCAAGACUUGAAUCACACAUGACAUCCUAAACUACCAAAUUUUUUCCUGUUACUCUAGCCACGCUACAUAGAAUAAAGCUUUCUUUUACCUAAGAUAAUGGAGGUGUUCUUUUGAGUUUAUAUACUAUAAAGGUUCAGUCUUUGUUACGCACACAAAAUUACGCUGGA
rnacentral:lncRNA from 1 species